rnacentral:antisense_RNA from 1 species
UAGGAGAACGAAACUUCUGUACAUUUUAAUCUGAAUAAUUCUUCAGGAUUUAACAUUAAUUGGCUCUGGCUUGGUUGGACCUUACUCGGAUCUCGCCACCUCUGCGUUUCCCGAGUCACUGGCGAAGAGGUCCCGGUUCCUCUGGGAAUCGUCCUGUAUGCAACAUCUUCACAAGGGUGGCAGGCAGUUGAAUCUCUGGACUUCGUGAGACCACUGGACAUUUGGCAGAGAACCAGGAAGCCACGGUUCCCUUCUGUGAGUCCCUCAGCCGGAAAACUACAAGGUGUGUGACUGUAGGACGAGGCUUUUUGAAACAUGAUGUGUGACACUUUGAGAAGUGUUUGGAAAGAAACUGGCUGACGUCGAAUGGAAAUUUGAACAUUCACAGAUUUCUUUUCCUAGAUACAGAAACACAAAAGCUUACAUGUACACAUUUAAAAAAAAUUUAAGUUAUCUUUUCUUUCUUGC